UGCUGUGUAGCUCAGUUGGCAAGAGCCCCGAACUCAUAAUUCGGUAGUCGCGGGUUCGAGUCCCGCCACAGCUACGA
rnacentral:tRNA from 9 species